rnacentral:rRNA from 1 species
GACGAACGCUGGCGGCGUGCCUAAUACAUGCAAGUAGGACGCAGUUGCGAACGGGUGAGUCACGCUUAGUUAACUACCUAUUAGAGGGGGAUAACUAUUGGAAACGCUAGCUAAUACCGCAUACUAUUAUAUGGACCUGCGUUGUAUUAGCUAGUAGGUAGGGUAAAGGCCUACCUAGGCAACGAUACAUCGCCGCCCUGAGAGGGGGAUCGGCAAAACGGGGAAUGAGGCACGGCCCAGACUCCUACGGGAGGCAGCAGUAGGGAAUCUUCGGCAAUGGGGGGAACCCUGACCGAGCAACGCCGCGUGAGUGAAGAAGGUUUUCGGAUCGUAAAGCUCGGUUGUUAAGGAAGCGGUAAUUAACCAGAAAGGGACGGCUAACUACGUGCCAGCAGCCGCGGUAAUAC